AUGGCUGUCGUCAGCUCGUGUCGUGAGAUGUUGGGUUAAGUCCCGUAACGAGCGCAACCCCUAUCCUUAGUUGCCAGCGAGUAAUGUCGGGAACUCUAGGGAGACUGCCGGUGACAAACCGGAGGAAGGUGGGGACGAGGUCAAGUCAUCAUGGCCCUUAUGGGCAGGGCUACACACGUGCUACAAUGGCCGGUACAGAGGGUAGCGAAGCGGCGACGUGGAGCAAAUCUCAGAAAACCGGUCGUAGUCCGGAUUGCAGUCUGCAACUCGACUGCAUGAAGUCGGAAUCGCUAGUAAUCGCGGAUCAGAACGUCGCGGUGAAUACGUUCCCGGGCCUUGUACACACCGCCCGUCACACCAUGGGAGUGGGCUGUACCAGAAGUAGGUAGUCUAACCUUCGGGAGGACGCUUACCACGGUGUGGUUCAUGACUGGGGUGAAGUCGUAACAAGGUAGCCGUAGGGGAACCUGCGGCUGGAUCACCUCCUUUAAAGAAGCAAGAAGUAAGACGUGACGGCGUAUGAAGCGUCCUCACAAUCUGUCUGGUCACCAUGUAGGGAAACCGCGGGUCUGUAGCUCAGUUGGUUAGAGCGCACCCCUGAUAAGGGUGAGGUCGGAAGUUCAACUCUUCCCAGACCCACCACUUCUAAAGUUGUCUGGAAGUUGUCACAGGGGGCCAUAGCUCAGCCGGGAGAGCGCCUGCUUUGCAAGCAGGAGGUCGGCGGUUCGAUCCCGCCUGGCUCCACCAGGUGAUAAUCCACAGCGAUCCUUAGGUGCGUUGUGGAUUAUUCCUUGGCAGCAAGCCCAGGAAACGUUCUUUAACAAUUAGGCAGUGAUAUACGACGGUGAAGUCAGGUCGUAGUAAUAGACCGGGCUUUACUGGGUAUACCAGCAUUUUUAUUGAAGUAAUUUAUUGGUGUAAUUCCCAAGACAAGCAGUCUUCUUGGGGUUAUAUGAUCAAGCGACCAAGCGCACAUGGUGGAUGCCUUGGCGGCAAGAGGCGAUGAAGGACGUGGUAGCCUGCGAUAAGCUUCGGGGAGUCGGCAAAUUGACUUUGAUCCGGAGAUUUCCGAAUGGGGAAACCCGG
rnacentral:sRNA from 1 species